rnacentral:lncRNA from 10 species
GUUUGCAGGUUUUUAUGAGGCAGCCUAGAGGGCUGUCCUUUGGAAUAGAAGACUGGGAAUUUCCCAUAGCGGGUAGGCUCCAGAGAACAGGAAAAAGGAGGCCGUCCUGGACAGCCAGAGGGAGACAAUAAAAGGAGCGAUUGUCACUGCUGCCUUUUUCGUUGCCGGAAUGGGAUCAAAUGGCUUAGAGGCGUCCCCCUAAGACCAGAUGAUCAGCGAGUGCCUGGCACGCUCUGGAGUCUUCUUGGACCAACGUUGGAUUUUUGGACCAGAGAAACCAGUAGGUGAUAUCAGUGACCGAUGUGCGUGCACAGAGAGGCCCGCUGGAGGCUGCAGAGCUUCCUUUGCCUGGCUGCUAUGGCCUGCUCUCCCAGGUGAAGGGGUAGGUCCCUGGGGGACAUGGACCAAAGCCUCUACUGAGUUUCGGCACCAGAUGAAAGACUCUUGUAUUGGUUCAAACCCUGAGAGCCCACCAACAGACAACACCAGCGGGUGUGGAGCAACACGCUGUUUUAAUAAGUGCCUAGGUGAAGAUGGGCUGAGACCUAAAAUGGCGUCAGCCCCAAAUGAGGAUGGGGCAGGGAUUUUAUAGUCCUCUGUAAACAGGAAGUGUCCCAGUCUGAUGUGACUGCUGCAUAGUACUCAGAUGGCCUCCGCCUCGAUCUUCAGGGGUAUGUGUCUUCUGGCCAGCUCUCUUCCUGCUUCUACUAUCUUACUGAUGCACACUGCUGGUACAAGUGGCCUUGUGCCUUGGGACUGGGCCUGAGGAGGGAGGAGUUAUUCAUUCCCGUAAGCUUUCAGGCUCCGGGGAGAAUCUUUCAGAAGGCCACUAAAACCUGGGUCUGGCAAAUCAGCAGUUGGAAUGAACUUCCACGGGUAGAGAGGGAAUUUCUCUUGAGAAUUUUGCUGUGCCAUUUCUAGAAGUUUCCAUUUUGAAAGGCAGCGUCUACAGCAUACCGAUCUUCAUUGCUUUGCCGGAAUUUAAGAUAAAGUACUGUUCUAGAUACUGUGGAUACAGUGAUGGACAAGAUGCAGUAGUAGUUGAAGUAUGGGGCAGAGAGAGAUGGGGUAAGUAGAAAGGGUUAAAAUUACAAUAAUAUUACAGAAAUGAAGUUGGCAAGGCUUUGUAACUGAUUGGAUGUGGGCAGUGAGGAUGGUUGGGGAGUUUUGCACCCAACUGAACAGGAUGGUAUUGUUGUCAUUAACACAAGGAGAUCAGAGGAAUAAAGUUGGGCAGGGAGGGUGAUCAUUUCCAUUGUAGACUUAGUGAGCUUGUGAUUUAAAGGGGCACUGUGGUACAGAAAUCUAGCAGGCAGUCAGAAAUUAGCGACUGAACUUUGGGAAAAAGAAUAGAGAUUUUGAAGUCAUGUUCACAGAGGCAAGAGAUUGUGAAGCAGUGGGGAGGAUGGUCUUGGUGGGGGGAUAUGUGUGUGUCUCUGUGUGUGUGUGGAUGUAAUGUAGACUGACAAAACAAGGGGCUUCAGCACUGGCCUUUGGAGAACAUCUGAAUUUAGGAGUCCAGAGAGAUCCAAAUAUGUAUAUGAAGAAAUAUAAUACAACAUGCAGAAAGGAAGGCACCUUAAGAGAAGUACAGAUGGUCCUAUAGGACUUCAUAAGAGAGAUUUCUUCCAGCUGAGGAGUUCAGGAAAGGCUUCACUAAGGAUAUGACAUUUAAACUGGGUCAAAUUUUAUUCAUGCAUGUGCAAACUUUUUAUUUCUAUUUCUUCGUGAACUUUCAUCACUGCUACAUUUAUUAUAGGUCUGAACAGUGUGAUCUCACUGUUGGAGUGAAGGAGGGUCAACUGAGGAUUCUUUGGCAGGUGAAACACUCCAUAGGUUAUGAAAAAUAAUUCUUCCAGUUAUCUCUUUUAUGUGACUGGAACUUGUCUAUAGUAAAAGUAAUUUGUUUCUUGUGGCUUUGUUUCAGAAUUUUUUUUAGAUAUUUUAUGUAAAAA